AGCUCUGUUGUAUGAGGUGUCUGUUAACCCCUGCUGGGAGGUGUCUCCCAGUCAGGAGGCAUGGGGUUUGGGAACCCACUUAAUGAAGCAGUCUGUCCUUUAGCAGAGCUUGAGCACUGUGCUGGGAGAUCUGCUACUGUUUUUAGAGCUGGUAUGUAGGAAUGUUUGUCUGCUGGAGCUGUGCCCACAGCUGUCCCUUCCCCCAGAUGCUGUGUCCCAGGGAGAUGGGAGUUUUAUUUAUAAACACCUGACUGGGGCUGCUGCCUUUCCUUCAGAGAUGCCCUAUCCAAAAAGGAAGAAUCUAGAGAAGCAGAUUUGCUGAGCUGUGGUGGGCUCUGCCCAGUUCAAACUUCGUGAAGCUGGUUAGUACUUAGUUGAAGGCUUGAUGUGGACACUGCAGAUCUCUGAAGCUCUCUCCUCUCUGUAUCUCUGCUCUACAGAGUCUACUUGCUGUGAUAUUCCUUGGCUCCCAGAUACAUCUUCACUGCUCAAGGCAAACCACUUCAAUGGAACAUGGCUGGCGGCCAUAUGGACAUAUAUGAAUCCAACAAUUAAUUCAGCAAAGAAAACGGCUUGUGGCAAGGUUUGA
ensembl:lncRNA